rnacentral:rRNA from 1 species
GAUGAACGCAGGCGACGUGCCUAAUACAUGCAAGUCGAGCGAAGCGGGGACGGGUGAGUAACACGUGGAUAACCACCUAUCAGACUGGGAUAACUUCGGGAAACCGGAGCUAAACCGGAUGAAUAUAGAGAGAUCCGCGCGGCAUUAGCGCGUUGGUAAGGUAACGGCUUACCAAGGCAACGAUGCAUAGCCGACCUGAGAGGGUGAUCGGCCACACUGGAACUGAGACACGGUCCAGACUCCUACGGGAGGCAGCAGUAGGGAAUCUUCCGCAAUGGGCGAAAGCCUGACGGAGCAACGCCGCGUGAGUGAUGAAGGUCUUCGGAUCGUAAAACUCUGUUAUUAGGGAAGCCGUACCUAAUCAGAAUGCCACGGCUAACUACGUGCCAGCCGCCGCGGUAACAC